UUUUCCGUUUGAUCCUGCCGGACCCCACUGCUAUCGAGGUGGGACUAAUCCAUGCUAGUCGAACGAACCCGGACCAUGGCGGGGAGUGGCACACUGCUCAGUAACACGUAGCUAACCUACCCUCGGGACGGGGGCAACCCCGGGAAACUGGGGCUAAUACCCGAUAGGCGUGGGCUCCUGGAAUGGUUCCACGCCGAAAAGUCAGCGUACCCAUGUCGUACGCGCACGCCCGAGGACGGGGCUGCGGCCGAUCAGGCUGUUGGUGGGGUAACGGCCCACCAAACCUUUGACCGGUACGGGCCGUGAGAGCGGUAGCCCGGAGAUGGGCACUGAGACAAGGGCCCAGGCCCUACGGGGCGCAGCAGGGGCGAAACCUCCACAAUGCACGCAAGUGCGAUGGGGUUACCUCGAGUGCCGCCUGAGAAAGGCGGCUUUUCCAUGGUGUAAUGAGCCGUGGGAAUAAGGGGGGGCAAGACUGGUGUCAGCCGCCGCGGUAACACCAGCCCCCCGAGUGGUGGGGAUGUUUAUUUGGCCUAAAGCGUCCGUAGCCGGCCCGGUAAAUCUCUCGUUAAAUCCAGCGUCCCAAGCGUUGGGCUGCGAGGGAGACUGCCGGGCUAGAGGGUGGGAGAGGUCAGCGGUAUUCCUGGGGUAGGGGCGAAAUCCAUUGAUCCCAGGAGGACCACCAGUGGCGAAGGCUGCUGACUAGAACACGCCUGACGGUGAGGGACGAAAGCUGGGGUAGCGAAUCGGAUUAGAUACCCGAGUAGUCCCAGCCGUAAACGAUGCAGGCUAGGUGUUGGGGCGGCCACGCGCCGCCUCAGUGCCACAGGGAAGCCAUUAAGCCUGCCGCCUGGGGAGUACGGCCGCAAGGCUGAAACUUAAAGGAAUUGGCGGGAGAGCACCACCAGGCGUGAAGCCUGCGGUUUAAUUGGAUUCAACGCCGGGAAUCACUAGU
rnacentral:rRNA from 1 species